rnacentral:rRNA from 1 species
UACGAAGGGGGCUAGCGUUGCUCGGAAUGACUGGGCGUAAAGGGCGCGUAGGCGGAUUGCUUUGUCGGGCGUGAAAUUCCAGGGCUCAACCUUGGGGCUGCGUUCGAGACGGGUGAUCUAGAGUUUGGAAGAGGGUCGUGGAAUUCCCAGUGUAGAGGUGAAAUGCGUAGAGAUUGGAAAGAACACCGAUGGCGAAGGCACUUUACUGGGCUAUUACUAACACUCAGAGACGAAAGCUAGGGUAGCAAAUGGG